UACGUAGGGUGCAAGCGUUGUCCGGAAUCAUUGGGCGUAAAGAGCUCGUAGGCGGUUUGUUGCGUCGGCUGUGAAAUCCCGAGGCUCAACCUCGGGUCUGCAGUCGAUACGAGCAAACUGGAGUGUUGCAGGGGAGACUGGAAUUCCUGGUGUAGCGGUGAAAUGCGCAGAUAUCAGGAGGAACACCGGUGGCGAAGGCGGGUCUCUGGGCAACAACUGACGCUGAGGAGCGAAAGCGUGGGGAGCGAACAGG
rnacentral:rRNA from 1 species